rnacentral:rRNA from 1 species
AACGAACGCUGGCGGCAUGCCUAACACAUGCAAGUCGAACGAGACCUUCGGGUCUAGUGGCGCACGGGUGCGUAACGCGUGGGAAUCUGCCCUUGGGUUCGGAAUAACAGUUAGAAAUGACUGCUAAUACCGGAUAAUGUCUUCGGACCAAAGAUUUAUCGCCCAGGGAUGAGCCCGCGUAGGAUUAGCUAGUUGGUGAGGUAAAGGCUCACCAAGGCGACGAUCCUUAGCUGGUCUGAGAGGAUGAUCAGCCACACUGGACUGAGACACGGCCCAGACUCCUACGGGAGCAGCAGUGGGGAAUAUUGGACAAUGGGCGAAAGCCUGAUCCAGCAAUGCCCGCGUGAGUGAUGAAGGCCUUAGGUUGUAAAGCUCUUUACCCGGGAUGAUAAUAGACAGUACCGGGA